rnacentral:rRNA from 1 species
UGCACCUACGGGACGCAGCAGUGGGGAAUAUUGCACAAUGGGGGAAACCCUGAUGCAGCGACGCCGCGUGAGUGAAGAAGUAUUUCGGUAUGUAAAGCUCUAUCAGCAGGGAAGAAAAUGACGGUACCUGACUAAGAAGCCCCGGCUAACUACGUGCCAGCAGCCGCGGUAAUACGUAGGGGGCAAGCGUUAUCCGGAUUUACUGGGUGUAAAGGGAGCGUAGACGGCGCGGCAAGUCUGAAGUGAAAAUCCGGGGCCCAACCCCGGAACUGCAUUGGAAACUGUAUAUCUAGAGUGUCGGAGAG